rnacentral:rRNA from 1 species
CGGCGGACGGGUGAGUAACGCGUGGGUAACCUGCCUCAUACAGGGGGAUAACAGUUAGAAAUGACUGCUAAUACCGCAUAAGACCACAGCACCGCAUGGUGCAGGGGUAAAAACUCCGGUGGUAUGAGAUGGACCCGCGUCUGAUUAGGUAGUUGGUGGGGUAACGGCUUACCAAGCCGACGAUCAGUAGCCGACCUGAGAGGGUGACCGGCCACAUUGGGACUGAGACACGGCCCAA